rnacentral:rRNA from 1 species
AUUGAACGCUGGCGGCAUGCCUUACACAUGCAAGUCGAACGGCAGCACGGGUGCUUGCACCUGGUGGCGAGUGGCGAACGGGUGAGUAAUACAUCGGAACAUGUCCUGUAGUGGGGGAUAGCCCGGCGAAAGCCGGAUUAAUACCGCAUACGAUCUACGGAUGAAAGCGGGGGACCUUCGGGCCUCGCGCUAUAGGGUUGGCCGAUGGCUGAUUAGCUAGUUGGUGGGGUAAAGGCCUACCAAGGCGACGAUCAGUAGCUGGUCUGAGAGGACGACCAGCCACACUGGGACUGAGACACGGCCCAGACUCCUACGGGAGGCAGCAGUGGGGAAUUUUGGACAAUGGGCGAAAGCCUGAUCCAGCAAUGCCGCGUGUGUGAAGAAGGCAUUCGGGUUGUAAAGCACUUUUGUCCGGAAAGAAAUCCUUGGCCCUAAUACGGUCGGGGGAUGACGGUACCGGAAGAAUAAGCACCGGCUAACUACGUG